rnacentral:sRNA from 26 species
UUUUAGCCCUGAUAGCAGUGGAAAUCCUUUUCUUUUUUCCUUUAAAAAAGAAAAGAUUGCAACGAAUAGCAGGAAUAGCU